GCGGGUAUAGUUUAGUGGUAAAA
rnacentral:ncRNA from 882 species